rnacentral:rRNA from 1 species
UACGAAGGGGGCUAGCGUUGCUCGGAAUCACUGGGCGUAAAGCGCACGUAGGCGGCUUUUUAAGUCAGGGGUGAAAUCCUGGAGCUCAACUCCAGAACUGCCUUUGAUACUGAGAAGCUUGAGUCCGGGAGAGGUGAGUGGAACUGCGAGUGUAGAGGUGAAAUUCGUAGAUAUUCGGAAGAACACCAGUGGCGAAGGCGGCUCACUGGCCCGGUACUGACGCUGAGGUGCGAAAGCGUGGGGAGCAAACAGG